CCUACGGGUGGCAGCAGUGGGGAAUAUUGGUCAAUGGACGAAAGUCUGAACCAGCCAAGUAGCGUGAAGGAUGACUGCCCUAGGGGUUGUAAACUUCUUUUAUAUGGGAAUAAAAUGUUCCACGUGUGGGGUUUUGUAUGUACCAUAUGAAUAAGGAUCGGCUAACGCCGUGCCAGCAGCCGCGGUAAUACGGAGGAUGCGAGCGUUAUCCGGAUUUAUUGGGUUUAAAGGGAGCGUAGGUGGAUUGUUAAGUCAGUUGUGAAAGUAGGGGGCUCAACCGUAAAACUGCAGUUGAAACUGGUAGUCUUGAGUACCGUAGAGGUGGGCGGAAUUCGUGGUGUAGCGGUGAAAUGCUUAGAUAUCACGAAGAACACCGAUUGCGAAGGCAGCUCACUGGACUGCAACUGACAGUGAGGCGCGAAAGCGUGGGUAUCAAACAGGAUUAGAUACCCCAGUAGUC
rnacentral:rRNA from 1 species